GACGAACGCUGGCGGCGUGCUUAACACAUGCAAGUCGAACGGAAAGGCCCUGCUUUUGUGGGGUGCUCGAGUGGCGAACGGGUGAGUAACACGUGAGUAACCUGCCCUUGACUUUGGGAUAACUUCAGGAAACUGGGGCUAAUACCGGAUAGGAGCUCCUGCUGCAUGGUGGGGGUUGGAAAGUUUCGGCGGUUGGGGAUGGACUCGCGGCUUAUCAGCUUGUUGGUGGGGUAGUGGCUUACCAAGGCUCUGACGGGUAGCCGGCCUGAGAGGGUUACCGGCCACAUUGGGACUGAGAUACGGCCCAGACUCCUACGGGAGGCAGCAGUGGGGAAUAUUGCACAAUGGGCGGAAGCCUGAUGCAGCAACGCCGCGUGCGGGAUGACGGCCUUCGGGUUGUAAACCGCUUUCGCCUGUGACGAAGCGUGAGUGACGGUAAUGGGUAAAGAAGCACCGGCUAACUACGUG
rnacentral:rRNA from 1 species